GGAGGGAACGUGUCACAAGUGUACGGGGACGGAUAGGUAGCAAAACAUACCACUCUUAAAAAUGAGAGAAAUCAAAGAGAAUGAUGCGCGAAAGAGAGUUUACUACGUAUUAUGCAUAUCGUACCGGUUUCCAAUUUCAAUGGGAAACCCAACAAUCCGCGGAUCGGAUUUUGUCCAAUUGUUUAAAUAAAGACGUGGAGUAAAUGCAUCGAUAGUUCAUCAGUUUAAUCAAUUAUUUUAAUGAAAUCGGGAAAAGGGACAAACGUAAAACAACAACCAAGCAGCAGUUUGAACGAGUUGUUGCUUUAAUAUAGUCGAAUACUGACGUGGUCAAGGAUUUGUCAAAGGGGAGCGCAAAAUGUUGGGAAUUAGUGUCGAAGGAAUUGAAUCCAUUAGGUCCACCAACCAAGGAUGGCUCAGGAUGGAAGAAGGUCUGGUCUGAUUACAGGUCAUCAU